GUACAACGAGAAGCGAACCUGCGAAGGCAAGCGGAUCUCUUAAAGCCGUUCUCAGUUCGGACUGUAGGCUGCAACUCGCCUACACGAAGCUGGAAUCGCUAGUAAUCGCGGAUCAGCACGCCGCGGUGAAUACGUUCCCGGGCCUUGUACACACCGCCCGUCACACCAUGAGAGUUUGUAAUACCCAAAGCCGGUGGGGUAACCUUUUGGAGCCAGCCGUCUAAGGUGGGACGGAUGAUUGGGGUGAAGUCGUAACAAGGUAUC
rnacentral:rRNA from 1 species